rnacentral:rRNA from 1 species
AUUGAACGCUGGCGGCAGGCCUAACACAUGCAAGUCGAGCGGUAGCACAGGAGAGCUUGCUCUCUGGGUGACGAGCGGCGGACGGGUGAGUAAUGUCUGGGAAACUGCCUGAUGGAGGGGGAUAACUACUGGAAACGGUAGCUAAUACCGCAUAAUGUCGCAAGACCAAAGAGGGGGACCUUCGGGCCUCUUGCCAUCAGAUGUGCCCAGAUGGGAUGUAGCUAGUAGGUGGGGUAACGGCUCACCUAGGCGACGAUCCCUAGCUGGUCUGAGGGGAUAGCCAGCCACACUGGAACUGAGACAGGGUCCAGACUCCUACGGGAGGCAGCAGUGGGGAAUAUUGCACAAUGGGCGCAAGCCUGAUGCAGCCAUGCCGCGUGUAUGAAGAAGGCCUUCGGGUUGUAAAGUACUUUCAGCGAGGAGGAAGGCAUUGUGGUUAAUAACCACAGUGAUUGACGUUACUCGCAGAAGAAGCACCGGCUAACUCCGUGCCAGCCGCCGCCGUAA